rnacentral:rRNA from 1 species
UACGGAGGAUGCGAGCGUUAUCCGGAUUUAUUGGGUUUAAAGGGUGCGCAGGCAGAGGCACAAGUCAGCGGUAAAAUCGCGGGGCUCAACCCCGCUCCGCCGUUGAAACUGUGUCCCUUGAGUGCGCGAAGGGUAGGCGGAAUGCGUGGUGUAGCGGUGAAAUGCAUAGAUAUCACGCAGAACUCCGAUCGCGAAGGCAGCCUACCGGCGCGCGACUGACGCUCAUGCACGAAAGCGUGGGUAUCGAACAGG